rnacentral:rRNA from 1 species
GACGGAGGAUGCAAGCGUUAUCCGGAAUGAUUGGGCGUAAAGCGUCCGCAGGUGGCCGUUCAAGUCUGCUGUCAAAGACCGGGGCUUAACUUCGGAAAGGCAGUGGAAACUGAACAGCUAGAGUAUGAUAGGGGCAGGGGGAAUUCCUGGUGUAGCGGUGAAAUGCGUAGAGAUCAGGAAGAACAUCGGUGGCGAAGGCGCUCUGCUGGACCAUAACUGACACUCAGGGACGAAAGCUAGGGGAGCGAAUGGG